GAUGAAGAACGUAGCGAAAUGCGAUAAGUAAUGUGAAUUGCAGAAUUCAGUGAAUCAUCGAAUCUUUGAACGCACCUUGCGCCCUUUGGCUAUUCCGAAGGGCAUGCCUGUUUGAGUAUCGUGAACACCUCAACUCUCAUGGUUUGCCAUGAUGAGCUUGGACUUGGGGGUUUUGCUGGCCUUCGGUCGGCUCCUCUCAAACGGAUCAGCUUUCCAGUGUUUGGUGGCGUCACGGGUGUGAUAACUAUCUACGCCUGUGGUUUUCUGCCAGAUAACCUUCAGCGAUGGAGGUUCGCUGGGGCUCAUAAAUGUCUCUCUUCAGUGGAGACAGCUUUUUGGACGUUUGAUCUCAAAUCAGGUAGGACUACCCGCUGAACUUAAGCAUAUCAAUAAGCGGAGG
rnacentral:misc_RNA from 1 species